rnacentral:lncRNA from 1 species
UUACUUACCACUACUAGAGGUCCUGACUCCUGAAUCAGUUUUCGUUUUUCCCCAAUUCUUGAUUUCCUUACCGUCACAACCGACAGCCAGAGGCAAACCCUUUCUGUGUUCUUCACUUCUUCCCCCAAUUCCUUCCCGUCAAACCAGUCACUUGAGUUCACUGAUUGAGCUAGUAGCUAUAGCGGCGUGAACGGAUUGAAGUGAAUGGUAAACCCACUGGUACGAUUCACCAUUUUUUUUUUCAAGUCUCUCAUUCUCUAAGUCUCUGACUCUCUGUCUGUGAUUUUUUUUGUGUGGUUUUUCAUGUAUAUAUAAAUUAUACAGAUAACCAUUUAUAUAAUGGUCCAAUUUUUGGGUUGUUGUUAAAUUUAGCUUCGGUUUUUAUUUAAUUAUUGUUUAUCGUGCUUUGCCACUUUGGUGUAAUUUAGAUUUCAGAGUGUCAUAUUGUUUAUUGUGCUUUGCCAAUUGGCACUUUCGUGUAAUUCAGUGCCCGAUUACGUGAUUGAAUCAUUGAACCUUCUUGUUUCGAUGAAGCCCAUUUUAUGAUUUUGAUAAUUAGAUAGAUGAUAUUUGUUGUUUUUAUAAUUUUGCUCAUAUGUAUUAUUUGAUUACAAUGCAAACUUGAUGUAGUUAGUAAAAAAGUUAAUAAAUGGCGGAAAGUAAUGGGGGAGAAACAGGUUGGAUAACGAAACUUUAAUAAACGAUCGGUCGCCAGUCAGACCGGGCUUUUACGAUCGUUGAUUGUCAAUUGUCAAUGAUUAAAGUCAACUUCCGCCCUAACUGAACGUUCAUGUUGAAUUCGCCCCUGUUGACAUGCCAGUGUUACAUGUAAUAAGGAAACAAUGAAAUGAAAUAUUUAUUAGAAAAUCCUAACUACAAUUUGUGACAAUUUAUGCAGGCACAUUGCUGUGGACUUCAUUUCUCUCUUUAUAUCUUUAUUAGCAUGGUUUUGACAAAUUAAUUUAAUCCUAUUAAAUAUAAUUUUAUGUUAUUUAAUCUAAAACCAUACUAAAUUUUAUCUAAUCAAGAUAUUGAGUCGAUUUCAACCGAUGAGUUACCCAAUUUGUGACCUGGGCAAACUAGUACAAUUUCAUAACGAACGCCUAUAACUUGAAAAAUAUGGUAUGACAAAAACAAUCUAUUAAUAAAAUCUUAAAUUCAAUAAAAAUCAAAUGCUCAAGCAUAUUUUACUCCAAAAAAAAGGGGGGGGGGGGGGGGGACCCGGCUCGUGUUCUCAUGAGCUAAAGCUCGAGCCAAGUCUCGUUUGUGAGCACGAGUUGAUCUUUGAUUGUCCUUAGGACCGAGCUCAUCUUGAAAAUUACCAACCCUACCACCACCUUCUACUACACUCUUCAAACCCCUCUCCCUCCCUCUUCCCUUCAGCCAAGCUUACAAAUUUUAGAAUAGAACAAUGUGCAACAAGUUCAAACUCGAAUGGAGUACGGAAGAUCAAGUUUGAUAAAUUAUAUAAUUUAUAAGAAAUGGAUUUGUUGGGGAUAACUAAAACUUAAGCAAGCAAAUUUAAAACUAGAAUUUAAGUUGUCAAAAUUAUCAAUAUUUGAAUGUUAGCUUGGGUUAGCAGGAGGUCUGCUAGACAAGCAUUAUUGAAUAGCGCCUUUUGAUGAGAAAUAUGAACAAGAAUCUGUUCUUUCCGUUUGAAGAAAGGAAGGAUUCCAAAAAAUCGAUCUUUCUUUAAGUUGGUGCUACUCUUUAACUUAUAAACUGUUUAAUUACCAAUUAAAUCCUCAAUUUUGUGACAAUUGAAAAUCAAUAUAUUGUUAUCUCAAAUUUAAUAAUUGACUCAAUAUAUAUAUAUAUAUAUAUAUAUAUAUAUAUAUAUAUAUAUAUACACACACACUUUGAAGUAGACUUGUAUAAAUUCCAUUUCAUUGGAAAAACUGUCCGUAUAUGGCCCAGUAUGAGUAGCUAACACAUUGUGGUCCAACUCAUUGACGAAAGGCUACAGCUAAAUAGAUAAAGGAGGGCCUACAAUCCAGUAUGUGGAAAUUACAUGGAGGCAUAAUUUUUAAGAUCCAAUUUCAAGAAUAAGAUUUUUAAGUUUCUGUUGGAAAAUAUUUUUCUAAUAAAAAACGUCUUAAGUUUGUUGGAAAUUUGCUGUACAAAACAUAUUUUCCAAAACUGUACUUGUUUAUUUCUAACCUUUGCAGAUUGCGAAAUUACUAUUCUGCAGAAUUUUAAUUUGUAAAUUCUGACUGGUUGAUCUUCUGUUUUGAAAACAGAAAUGGCUAACACUGUUGGGAUCAAUGCAAUUCCCCCUGCUGUGGCUGUGACGCCAACUGUGGCUACUGCAACGCAGACAAUGUCUGGUCCUUCUGGUUCAACUCAUGUUCCUCACGGAGAGAAACCUGAAAAAUUUAAUGGGAUCGAUUUUAAGAGAUGGCAGCAGAAAAUGCUGUUCUAUCUCACCACUUUGAACCUGGCAAAGUUUCUCACGGAGGAUCCUCCUACUGUUCAACAAGGAGAAAAUAAUCAAGCUUCGAUUAUUGCCUUGGACGCAUGGAAACAUUCCGAUUUUUUAUGCAAAAAUUAUGUACUGAAUGGACUUAAUGAUUCGCUAUAUGGUGUAUAUAGCAUAAUGAAAACUGCAAAAGAACUAUGAGAAUCUUUAGAGAAAAAAUAUAAAACUGAAGAUGCUGGAUCUAAAAAAUUUCUUGUCGGAAAAUUUUUGGAAUACAAAAUGAUUGACUCUAAAUCUGUUAU